AUACGGAGGAUGCGAGCGUUAUCCGGAUUUAUUGGGUUUAAAGGGAGCGUAGGUGGGAUAUUAAGUCAGCUGUGAAAGUUUGGGGCUCAACCUUAAAAUUGCAGUUGAUACUGGUUUCCUUGAGUACGGUACAGGUGGGCGGAAUUCGUGGUGUAGCGGUGAAAUGCUUAGAUAUCACGAAGAACUCCGAUCGCGAAGGCAGCUCACCGGGCCGGAACUGACACUGAUGCUCGAAAGUGCGGGUAUCAAACAGGAUUAGAUACCCUGGUAGUCCGCACAGUAAACGAUGAAUACUCGCUGUUUGCGAUACACGGUAAGCGGCCAAGCGAAAGCGUUGAGUAUUCCACCUGGGGAGUACGCCGGCAACGGUGAAACUCAAAUGAAUUGACGGGG
rnacentral:rRNA from 1 species